CCUACGGGAGGCAGCAGUGGGGGAUAUUGCACAAUGGGGGAAACCCUGAUGCAGCGACGCCGCGUGGGUGAAGAAGCGCCUCGGCGCGUAAAGCCCUGUCAGCAGGGAAGAAAAUGACGGUACCUGAAGAAGAAGCCCCGGCUAACUACGUGCCAGCAGCCGCGGUAAUACGUAGGGGGCAAGCGUUAGCCGGGUUUACUGGGUGUAAAGGGGGGGCAGACGGCGAUGCAAGCCAGGAGUGAAAGCCCGGGGCCCAACCCCGGGACGGCUCUUGGAACUGCGUGGCGAGAGUGCAGGAGGGGCAGGCGGAAUUCCUGGUGUAGCGGUGAAAUGCGUAGAUAUCAGGAGGAACACCGGUGGCGAAGGCGGCCUGCUGGACUGCAACUGACGUUGAGGCCCGAAAGCGUGGGGAGCAAACAGGAUUAGAUACCCGGGUAGUC
rnacentral:rRNA from 1 species